rnacentral:rRNA from 1 species
AUUGAACGCUGGCGGCAUGCUUUACACAUGCAAGUCGAACGGUAACAGGCCUUCGGGUGCUGACGAGUGGCGAACGGGUGAGUAAUGCAUCGGAACGUACCCAGAGGUGGGGGAUAACGCAGCGAAAGCUGUGCUAAUACCGCAUGUGAUCUGAGGAUGAAAGCGGGGGACCGAGCAGCAAUGUUUGGCCCCGCGCCUUUGGAGCGGCCGAUGUCGGAUUAGCUAGUUGGUGGGGUAAAGGCCUACCAAGGCGACGAUCCGUAGCUGGUCUGAGAGGACGACCAGCCACACUGGGACUGAGACACGGCCCAGACUCCUACGGGAGGCAGCAGUGGGGAAUUUUGGACAAUGGGCGCAAGCCCGAUCCAGCAAUGCCGCGUGCGGGAAGAAGGCCUUCGGGUUGUAAACCGCUUUUGGCAGGAACGAAACGGUGUCCGCUAAUACCGGGCGCUAAUGACGGUACCUGCAGAAUAAGCACCGGCUAACUACGUG